AUUUUAUCAGCUUCCCAGUUUGUUUGAGACAUGUUGUUUAGUCCAACAAUUCAAACAAACUUUCCUUAAUAAUGUCAGAUCCUUGAAAAAUCAAAAAAAAAAAAAAUGGUCACUAAUUAAUUGAAAACAAUAAACAGAAUAAAGAGUAGAGUUAGACAAAGCAUAAGUGUGUUUGUAUAUACCCUUUUUACAUUUGUGUUUUUUGCAUAUAAAAUUGGAAUCUUGGAGAAUGGAUGGACAGAAAGACUGAUGAAAAAAUAAAAAAAUAACUUUUUUUUUAUUUUCUACAGGGUUUUUUUUUUAGUGUUUUAUUCAACUCUGUUUUUCUCAGGGAACUGAAAUUCUCUUUCUUUUUCUGAUGAUGGGUUUUGGAGAAAAAGGGAUUGGAUUUGCUGGAGCUGAUGUUGCAGAUAUUGUAAUUGUUCUGUAAGUUGAAUUUUGC
rnacentral:lncRNA from 1 species